UACGACUACAUAUCAGGCAUAUCAAUAAGCGGAGGAAAAGAAACUAACAAGGAUUCCCUUAGUAACGGCGAAUGAAGCGGGAAGAGCUCAAAUUUGAAAUCUUAAAGGGUUUCCCUUUACGAAUUGUAGUUUAAAGAAGUGUUUUCUGUUGGAGUUUCGGUAAAAGUUCUUUGGAAUAGGACAUCAUAGAGGGUGAGAAUCCCGCACUUGACCGUUACUUUCCAGCUGUGUGAUACACCUUCAAAGAGUCGGAUUGUUUGGGAAUGCAGUCCAAAAUGGGUGGUAAAUUUCAUCUAAAGCUAAAUAUUGGCGAGAGACCGAUAGCGAACAAGUACCGUGAGGGAAAGAUGAAAAGAACUUUGAAAAGAGAGUUAAACAGUACGUGAAAUUGUCAAAAGGGAAGCGUUUGACACCAGUGUUGUUUUUCCGAAAAUCAAUUAAGAAGGGCUUGAUUUUGUGUUGUAUUGACCUUAUCAGCUUUCUUCACUCUUUUUCGAGUCUUUCUUAAUGCACUUUUCGGUUAACAAGUCAACAUCAAUUUCUUUUGUUGUAAAAGGGUAUUUGGAAGGUGGCUUUCUUUUCGGAGAAAGUGUUUAUAGCCUUAUACCUCUACAAUCGGAGAGAUUGAGGUCUGCAGCGUAGAUCCUUCGGGGCUAGAUACACUUGUGCUAAGUUAUAGCUUUUCAUAGACAACUUGUUGACUAUGUUUAGUCAUGUAGCUUACCCGCUUGUGCUAUUUUACCUACGCUUAGGAUGUUGAUCUACAGAGCGAGAGU
rnacentral:rRNA from 1 species